UACUGCCAUACUCCCCUACACAUGCCCGAUCUCAUCUGAUCUCCGAAGCUAAGCAGGGUCAGGCCUGGUUAGUACUUGGAUGGGAGAAAUGGAAUAAUGGAGCAAGUGU
rnacentral:rRNA from 1 species